rnacentral:rRNA from 1 species
AUUGAACGCUGGCGGCAGGCUUAACACAUGCAAGUCGAGCGGGGGAAGGUAGCUUGCUACCGGACCUAGCGGCGGACGGGUGAGUAAUGCUUAGGAAUCUGCCUAUUAGUGGGGGACAACAUCUCGAAAGGGAUGCUAAUACCGCAUACGUCCUACGGGAGAAAGCAGGGGAUCUUCGGACCUUGCGCUAAUAGAUGAGCCUAAGUCGGAUUAGCUAGUUGGUGGGGUAAAGGCCUACCUAGGCGACGAUCUGUAGCGGGUCUGAGAGGAUGAUCCGCCACACUGGGACUGAGACACGGCCCAGACUCCUACGGGAGGCAGCAGUGGGGAAUAUUGGACAAUGGGGGGAAACCUGAUCCAGCCAUGCCGCGUGUGUGAAGAAGGCCUUAUGGUUGUAAAGCACUUUAAGCGAGGAGGAGGCUACUCUAGUUAAUACCUAGGGAUAGUGGACGUUACUCGCAGAAUAAGCACCGGCUAACUCUGUGCCAGCAGCCGCCGUAA